UACGGGGGGGGCAAGCGUUGUUCGGAAUUACUGGGCGUAAAGGGCGCGUAGGCGGCACAGCAAGUCGGGAGUGAAAGCCCGGGGCUCAACCCCGGAACGGCUUUCGAAACUGCUGAGCUAGAGUGCGGAAGGGGCAGCCGGAAUUCCCAGUGUAGCGGUGAAAUGCGUAGAUAUUGGGAAGAACACCUGAGGCGAAGGCGGGUUGCUGGGCCGACACUGACGCUGAGGCGCGAAAGCCAGGGGAGCAAACGGG
rnacentral:rRNA from 1 species